UACGAAGGGGGCUAGCGUUGCUCGGAAUCACUGGGCGUAAAGGGUGCGUAGGCGGGUCUUUAAGUCAGGGGUGAAAUCCUGGAGCUCAACUCCAGAACUGCCUUUGAUACUGAGGAUCUUGAGUUCGGGAGAGGUGAGUGGAACUGCGAGUAUAGAGGUGAAAUUCGUAGAUAUUCGGAAGAACACCAGUGGCGAAGGCGACUUACUGGACACAUAUUGACGCUGAGGUGCGAAAGCGCGGGGAGCGAACGGG
rnacentral:rRNA from 1 species